rnacentral:rRNA from 1 species
GAUGAACGCUGGCGGCGUGCCUAAUACAUGCACGUCGAGCGAAGCGGGGACGGGUGAGUAACACGUGGAUAACCUCCUAUCAGACUGGGAUAACUUGGGGAAACGGGAGCUAAAACGGAUACUUAUUGCUGGAUCACCGCUGCAUGAGCUAGUUGGUAAGGUAACGGCUUACAAAGGCAACGAUGCAUAGCCGACCUGAGAGUGGGGUGAGCCAAACGGGAAGUGAGACAGUGACCCGAGUACUGAGAGAGGGACCAGAGGGUAAUCGUCCGCAAUGGGCGAAAGCCUGACGGAGCAACCCGGAGUGUGUGAUGAAGGUCUUCGGAUCGUAAAGCGUUGUUAUGGGGGAAUCGGUACCUAAUCAGAAAGCCACGGCUAACUACGUGCCAGCAGCCGCGGUAAUAC